GCCUGGCGUGCUGAAGUCCAUGGGGUCACAGUCGGACGUGACUGAAUGACUGAACUAAAUCAAUAAACAAAGCUGACCUAAGUAGAGGGGCUCAGGAAAGUCUACUUCAUACGGUUCAUUUUCAAGGUGAGAGUGAAGCUUAAGAGUCAGCUAUUUGGACGAAGCUGGUGGAGUUACUAGAUGAAGAGUGACAGUGCAUUACAAGCCCAGAUUUUACAUGUCAUAUGAUGGAAAGAAUUCCAAAAUGGGAAAGUGGUUUUCUUCAUGUCAAAUGUAAUAAACCCAAACCAGGGUUGACCACAGUCCUUACUGCUUUUGGAGCUUGUGUUUCCACAUGUAUUUGUGCUACUUCCUGUUAUAAAUAA
rnacentral:lncRNA from 1 species